AUGCGGUCAAAUCACGAUGAAAGCACUGGUUCUCGUCCGAUCACCGAAGUUUAGCAUUGUACAGCCAGGUCAGUAUUUUAGAUGGGGGACCGCUUGGCAAUCCCUGGUACUGUAAG